rnacentral:lncRNA from 1 species
AAUUUUUGUUUCGCAUAAAUUUAGGGUGCCAGCAUGUCCUCCUUUUAUUCAAAAUAUUGAUACGUAACAAAAUUUCAAUAGUUUUGAUACCUCAUGCUGACUUGUACAAUGAAAUAAUUUGACCGCAUUGACCAAGACCAAAACUGACCAUAUGUGCACUCUAAUUUGUAAAUCUAUAUGCCAGCAUAGUAAAUCAGCCAUAUUUUUUUAUGUCAGGAUUCAAUGUAUAAUACAAUGGACAGCUAUAUUGCAAUACAAUAACAACAUGAACAACAAAUUUUUGUUCGCAUAAAUUUAGGGUGCCAGCAUGUCCUCCUUUUAUUCAAAAUAUUGAUACGUAACAAAAUUUCAGUAGUUUUGAUACCUCAUGCUGACUUGUACAACAAAAUGAUUUGACCGCAUUGACCAAAACUGACCAUAUGUGCACUUUAAUUUGUAAAUCUAUAUACCAUGUAUACCCGCAUAGUAAAUAAGCCAUAUUUUUUAUGCCAGGAUUCAAUGUAUAAUACAAUGGACAGUAAUAUUGCAAUAUAAUAACAACAAAUUUUUGUUCGCAUUAAUUUUGGAUGUCAGCAUGUCCUCCUUUUAUUCAAAAUAUUGAUACGUAACAAAAUUUCAGUAGAUUUGAUACCUCAUGCUGACUUAUACAACAAAAUUAUUUGACUGCAUCGACCAAAAACUGACCUGCAUAUGUGCACUUUAAUUUAAAAAUCUAUAUAUAUCCGCAUAGUAAAUCAGCCAUAUUUUUGAUGUCUGGAUUCAAUGUAUAAAAUAAAUGACCGCUGUUGGGAUGGCGCCUAAUUAUGUCUUCUCCUGGCACUCCUGUGAACAUGUUAGUAGGACGGCAAAUGUAAGCAAUAAGGAAAACAAUUAAUGCAAUUUUUUUCCGCAUACAUUGAGAAUGUCAGCGUUUCAUCUCUGUAUUCAUAAUAUUGAACAGUCACUAGGGUGUGUAAAACGAAACUAUUAGGCCGCAUCAUCCAAGUACAUGUACCAACACUGACAUGUCUGAAUUCAUUUGUGAUUUUUAAUAAAAAAAUGUAUUUGAGGUUCUCUUCUGGUAAUAGUAUACUGUUAAUCUAUUAUGUCGGUUGAUUGAUUUUGUUUGUAGUUAAACGUCAAGUGACAACUAUUUCAUUCAUGUGCACAAAUCUCUCGACAAAUCUGACGAAUUUGACGAGAUUGUUGGUAGUUUUACCACAUCGUACAUAUCCGGACACUGUACAACUGUACAAUUUUCGUUAGAAUAUUCUGCGGAAAAAGAAUAGUAAAUCCAAUCCAAAUAAGUAGAAUAACAAUGAAAUAUCCAUGCAUGUAUAAAUGCGUAAAGUAAAAAUUAUGAAGGGACAGGUAAAAAACGGGGAACGAAGUAACGUCGACAAAGAUGUUGAUAUCCCAUGAUAUACGAAUGUUGUUCCGAUGCGUUGGAUAACCCUAAUUUCUAUCCGCCUUCUAAUUAAAAAAAAUAUGAUAGCUCUAUGUAAUUGACUAAUGUUUAUAAGAAUAUAUAAAAAUAAAAAAAAGAAAGAAUUGUGUUGUUAUUAAUAAUGUCUAGUAGAGUAUAGCGAGUAAAGAAAUUUGCUAUCAGAGGCCUUCUUGGGAAGAACAAUGCGAAUGUUGUUUAUACAUAUUUUAAUAAAGCUCAAGUCUGAUAUGAAAAGUCGCAAAAACGAUAACAUUUCAUAAGCAGACAUGUCCCCAGGUCUGGUCAAUAGCAGACUUGUCCACAGGUCUGGUCAGAAGCAGACCUGUCCACAGGUCUGGUCAGGAGCAGACCUGUCCACAGGUCUGGUCUGGGGCAGACCUGUCCUCAGGACUGGUCAAAAGCAGACUUGUCCACAGGUCUGGUCUGGAACAGACCCGUCGAUAGGUCUGCAGCAGUCAUAAAAAAGCGGACCGUAGGUCUGGUCCACCGUAGACGAAGUUAACUUGCUGGUCUGCUUAAAAAUUCUCAAGUUAACUUAAAAAGCAGUCAACAAGUUAACUCUAAGUUAACUUUUGUCAAGGUUAGGACCGCACCC